UACGUAGGGGGCUAGCGUUGCCUCGGAUUUAUUGGGCGUAAAGAGCGUGUAGGCGGCCAGGUAGGUCUGCUGUGAAAACUCGAGGCUCAACCUCGAGACGUCGGCGGAAACCAUCUGGCUAGAGUCCGGAAGAGGAGAGUGGAAUUCCUGGUGUAGCGGUGAAAUGCGCAGAUAUCAGGAAGAACACCCGUGGCGAAGGCGGCUCUCUGGGACGGUACUGACGCUGAGACGCGAAA
rnacentral:rRNA from 1 species